rnacentral:rRNA from 1 species
UACGUAGGGUGCGAGCGUUGUCCGGAAUUACUGGGCGUAAAGAGCUCGUAGGUGGUUUGUCGCGUUGUUCGUGAAAACUCACAGCUUAACUGUGGGCGUGCGGGCGAUACGGGCAGACUGGAGUACUGCAGGGGAGACUGGAAUUCCUGGUGUAGCGGUGGAAUGCGCAGAUAUCGGGAAGAACACCCGUGGCGAAGGCGGUUCUCUGGGACGGUACUGACGCUGAGACGCGAAAGCGUGGGGAGCGAACAGG